rnacentral:lncRNA from 1 species
GUGUACAACAUGCUGCGAUUCAGUCUCUCGUCCACCUUUUCGAUGGGAUUUCAUCUGUUAGCCAUCUUGGCACUCUUAUUUUUCCAUGUGGACCGUGUAAGUGCUGAGACAGAAAUGGAAGGAGAAGGCAAUGAAACCGGUGAAUGUACUGGCUCAUAUUACUGUAAGAAAGGGGUGAUUUUACCCAUUUGGGAGCCCCAAGACCCUUCCUUUGGGGACAAAAUUGCUAGAGCUACUGUGUAUUUUGUGGCCAUGGUCUACAUGUUUCUUGGAGUCUCUAUCAUUGCCGACCGGUUCAUGUCCUCUAUAGAAGUCAUCACGUCUCAAGAAAAAGAAAUAACCAUAAAGAAACCCAAUGGAGAGACUACCAAGACAACUGUGAGGAUCUGGAAUGAGACAGUUUCCAACCUGACCUUGAUGGCCCUGGGAUCUUCUGCUCCUGAGAUUCUCCUGUCAGUAAUUGAAGUGUGUGGCCAUAACUUUACUGCGGGAGACCUCGGUCCUAGCACCAUCGUGGGAAGUGCUGCAUUCAAUAUGUUCAUCAUUAUCGCGCUUUGUGUUUAUGUGGUCCCAGAUGGAGAGACGAGGAAGAUUAAGCAUUUACGUGUGUUCUUUGUGACGGCAGCCUGGAGCAUCUUUGCCUAUACCUGGCUUUACAUUAUUCUGUCUGUCAUCUCUCCUGGGGUCGUGGAGGUCUGGGAAGGUUUGCUUACUUUCUUCUUCUUUCCCAUCUGUGUUGUGUUUGCUUGGGUAGCAGAUAGGAGGCUUCUGUUUUACAAGUAUGUCUACAAGAGGUAUCGGGCUGGCAAGCAGAGGGGAAUGAUUAUUGAACAUGAAGGAGACAGGCCAUCUUCCAAGACUGAAAUUGAAAUGGAUGGGAAAGUGGUCAAUUCCCAUGUUGACAAUUUCUUAGAUGGCGCUCUUGUUCUGGAGGUCGAUGAGAGGGACCAAGAUGAUGAAGAGGCUAGGAGAGAAAUGGCUAGGAUUCUGAAGGAACUCAAGCAGAAGCAUCCAGAGAAAGAAAUAGAGCAAUUAAUAGAAUUAGCUAACUACCAAGUCCUAAGUCAGCAGCAAAAAAGUCGAGCAUUUUACCGAAUUCAAGCUACUCGCCUGAUGACUGGAGCUGGCAACAUUUUAAAGAGGCAUGCAGCUGACCAAGCAAGGAAGGCUGUCAGCAUGCACGAGGUCAACACUGAAGUGGCUGAAAAUGACCCUGUUAGUAAGAUCUUCUUUGAACAAGGGACAUAUCAGUGUCUGGAGAACUGUGGUACUGUAGCCCUGACCAUUAUCCGCAGAGGUGGUGAUUUGACCAACACUGUGUUUGUUGACUUCAGAACCGAGGAUGGCACAGCCAAUGCUGGGUCCGAUUAUGAAUUUACUGAAGGAACUGUAGUCUUUAAGCCUGGGGAGACCCAGAAGGAAAUCAGAGUUGGCAUCAUUGAUGAUGAUAUCUUUGAGGAGGACGAAAAUUUCCUUGUGCAUCUCAGCAAUGUCAAAGUGUCUUCUGAGGCUUCGGAAGAUGGCAUACUGGAAGCCAAUCACAUUUCUACACUCGCUUGCCUUGGAUCGCCCUCCACUGCCACUGUGACUAUUUUUGACGAUGACCAUGCAGGCAUCUUUACUUUUGAGGAACCUGUGACUCAUGUGAGUGAGAGCAUUGGCAUCAUGGAAGUGAAAGUCUUGAGAACAUCUGGAGCUCGAGGAAAUGUUAUCGUUCCCUAUAAAACCAUUGAAGGGACUGCCAGAGGUGGAGGGGAGGAUUUUGAGGACACUUGUGGAGAGCUGGAAUUCCAGAACGAUGAAAUUGUGAAGAUCAUUACCAUUAGAAUAUUUGACCGUGAGGAAUAUGAGAAAGAGUGCAGUUUCUCCCUUGUGCUUGAGGAACCAAAAUGGAUAAGAAGAGGAAUGAAAGGUGGCUUCACAAUAACAGACGAAUAUGAUGACAAGCAGCCACUGACCAGCAAAGAGGAAGAGGAGAGGCGCAUUGCAGAAAUGGGGCGCCCCAUUCUGGGAGAACACACUAAGCUGGAAGUGAUCAUUGAAGAAUCCUAUGAAUUCAAGAGUACGGUGGACAAACUUAUUAAGAAGACAAACCUAGCCCUUGUGGUUGGGACAAACAGCUGGAGAGAGCAGUUUAUUGAAGCUAUCACUGUCAGUGCCGGGGAAGAUGAUGAUGAUGAUGAAUGUGGGGAGGAGAAGCUGCCCUCCUGUUUCGAUUAUGUGAUGCACUUUCUGACUGUGUUCUGGAAGGUUCUCUUCGCCUUCGUGCCCCCUACAGAAUACUGGAAUGGCUGGGCAUGUUUCAUUGUCUCCAUCCUCAUGAUUGGCGUACUGACAGCUUUCAUUGGAGACCUGGCUUCCCACUUCGGCUGCACCAUUGGCCUGAAAGAUUCUGUGACUGCAGUGGUGUUCGUCGCACUUGGAACUUCAGUACCAGAUACUUUUGCAAGCAAAGUGGCAGCCACCCAGGACCAGUACGCAGACGCAUCCAUAGGUAACGUCACGGGCAGCAACGCAGUGAACGUCUUCCUGGGAAUCGGCGUGGCCUGGUCCAUUGCUGCCAUCUACCACGCGGCCAACGGGGAACAGUUCAAAGUGUCCCCUGGCACACUAGCUUUCUCUGUCACUCUCUUCACCAUUUUUGCUUUCAUCAAUGUGGGGGUGCUGCUGUAUCGGCGGAGGCCGGAAAUCGGAGGUGAGCUGGGUGGGCCCCGGACUGCCAAGCUCCUCACAUCCUGCCUCUUUGUGCUCCUGUGGCUCUUGUACAUUUUCUUCUCCUCCCUGGAGGCCUACUGCCACAUAAAAGGCUUCUAA